GCCCAGGCGGUCAUGUUUAGAAACUGCAGGCCCAGGUAGAAGGACCUUGAAGAGAAGAGGAAUUCUUGCUCCCUGUAGGUUGUAAGAAUGGUCAAAAGGA